AUUUGUUAAGGUCGACUCGAGUCCAGAAGGGAGGCAGCUCACCGCCUGUCGAACUCGUUCCGCGGGAGUUAAAUCGGGCUUGACGAGAUUAACAUUUUGUUCUGGUAUAUCUGCGACAGGUUUUUGAAGCAAUCAGAUGACAGGUUUUUGAAGCAAUCAGAUGAACUUUGAACUUACGAAUUCAAUUCGAUUAUAGAACGAAAAUCGGACCUUCCCAGUGAUGAGUUGAAGUGAAAAGAGGUGGCUCCUGA
rnacentral:lncRNA from 1 species